CUAGGGCCCCGGCAGAGGGCAGCAGGAGACCGCGAUGAGCGCGGGGAACCGGUCUUCAGGAAUCAUUAAACUUCAGACUUUAAGAAUAUGUUUGGGAUUAUGGAGCCUCAGUCCUCCUUUUACAGAUGAGACAUUGAAAUCCUUAGAGUAGAAGCCAGCAAGAGAAUGCACGUCUUAUGACUCCUUGACCAGCUCAUUACCACAAGGGUCUGUGGCAAGGAACUGGAUACUUAGCCUGGCAAAUUUGCUGAUUCCAGACCUGAUAUGAUCCUGGAUUCUCAUGGUAGUUAGACUGCCACCAUCAGCAGGAUAGAGUUGGCUAAGCGAAACGCCAUUGUA